rnacentral:lncRNA from 1 species
GCUGCUUACACGGUGAGUAAACGCAUGUAUUCAUAGUUUCUAAGAUAAACCUUGAUCUAUAUGACCCUGGCUGUAAACAUGGAGCCUCUUUGACCUCAGGCUCCGACGCCGCCUGUUGUUGGACAGCACCAGUGGAAGGCGAUGUCGAGCUGCGGGAGGAGCAGAUGGAGCAGUCUGUGUUCGGACUAUGUUUUGCUCUGGACCCUUCGACUGCCCCUCCAUCACUCCGUCUUUCCAACUCCUCCCUCACCGCCACCUACCACGGACAGAGCCCCCCCGGCCCGCCUCCAGACGCCAGGGUCAGGCGAUCCGUGACCCCUGACCCCGGGGCUAUGCCGGCCCUCCCGCAGGUCUGCGCUGACGCGGUCAUCGCACGAGGACAGUACUACUGGGAGGUGGAUGUGUGUAACAGCUCCGUCUACAGCGUCGGUGUGAGCUCGCUGGAUGCUUCUGCCGGCUGGUGGUUUGAAAGGCGGGGCUUAUCUUUCUGUGCCGUGUAUGAUGGGAGCCGGGAGCCGCUCUGCACUGUCCCGCCUCAGAUCAAAACCAUUGGGGUCUUCCUCAACAUUGGAGGGGGCGCCCUGAGCUUCCACAACCCUCUGACCCAGGAGCACCUCGCCACACUGCCUACGCGCUUCAACCCUGCUGGAGUCGUCCCGGCUCUGGGCCUGGGUCAGGGUCGACUGAGGCUGCGCUGCGGCCUGCCCCCUCCUCCUCAUGUGUUCCUCGGGAAGGACUCGGCCUACAGGGGACCUUGUGGGGCCGCUGGAGGCCGCUGGCACGGGGAGAUUCCCUUCCAGUCAGUGAGGAAAGUGAUCCAGAAGUUUGAGGAGCUGGCUGUGUCCGACUCAGACUCAGGCCUGGUGUCCAGUUCCGGAUCUUCCUGCUCCACCUUGGCUUCCCUCCCAGAGAUGGGGGUCCCCGGGAUGCUUCCCUCUGGGCGAGCUGGACAGGAAGCUGUUGCUGAAUAA